UGCAGAGAGCUGUUAGUGCAACAAGGCAGUGGGGUGCUCCCCAAGUGUGGAAGCAGCAUCCCUUGGAAAUGCUGCUGACAUUCUGGAGUGCGGUGAGUAAUAUGUGGCUAAUUGGCAAAAAUUUAAACAUGUAUUCAAUUAACUGAAACUUUCUUUGGUCUGUAAUUGCAUUUGUUUGUUUGUUUGUUUGUUUGUUUGUUUGUUUCUGGCUCAAUGUAGUUGGGAGAAGGAAGAGAAAAAAAAAUGGAGAACAGCACUUAUUUGAUAUCUGUUACGUGCCAGGAAGCAAAUUACAGCUUUAUCUUGUGUGACCUUCAUGCCUGUCCUUCAAGGAGGAAGAUCAUUUCACAGUUGCAAGGGAGGAAGCGGAGAUGUUAGGUGGCUCACCCAGUAACCCGCACGUGAGCAGCAGACAAAAGGGUGGUUCUGAGAAGCUUCAUGUCCACACAGCCUGCCCGGAGACAGUGCACAGGACCAACCAACCAAUCUGCCUUUCUGGCGAGGCUGAGACAAAUCAGGAAAGUCAUGCCGCAGUUCCUGGCAGAUCUGUCAAACAUACUCCCACCUGGGUUUCUAAUCCAGAACCAGCUCGGAUCAGCAAGGGCGAGACUUCCUGCCUGAAGAACACCUACCAAGGAGCUUGUGUCAGAUCAUUUGGGGACUGUCAGCAUGUCUGCAACUCUGUCACAACAAUUGGAGAGUAAUGUCAACAGAAAGAACAAAAAGCCUGAUACAGGAAAUCUUCACGUAUUGAGAUACGGAAGUCCUUCUGACUUACAUAUGCAUUAACUUGAAUUUCAUGCUAACUAAAAUAGCCCAUUUGUGGCCUAUUCACAUAUCUGGUACAUCUGCUUUAAUUAUUAAAGAAAAGAGCCCAUGGACCAGAAGUAAAGAAUGCCCCUGUUAAAAAUGAAGACUAGGAGUUCCCGCUGUGGCUCAGCAGGUUAAGAACCCAACAUAGCGUCCGUAAGGAUGUGGGUACAAUCCCUGGUCUCACUCAGUGGGUUGAUGAUCUGGUGUUGCCAUGGCUAUAGCGGAAGUCCAUAUUAAAAAAAAAAAAAGGAAAGAAAGAAAGAAAAAGAUUCUCGAGGCAUGGGCAUCAAAGGACAUUCGCAGGGCUCUGUCUUAACUGAUGAGCAAAUUUAUUUAAGCCCACACAGAUCUGAGCAGUCCUGUCAACGGACAAGCCCCGUGCAUUCACUUGGUGAAUCUUUAUGGGGACAUGUGUCGAAUCGGGCACAGUGUUGGUCUCAGACCAUGUGGUCUCAUGGAGCCCACAAGAGCACAGGGCUUGUGUCCAGCUUGCUUGGAGACAUAAAGUUGUACAGGUGCUCAAACUCUUGGGGUGCUCUGUAAUUCAGCCUAUUCUGGCUGAAUAAGAUCUAUAGAACUUACAUAUGAUAGCAGCGCUGGCAAAGUCCACGGCAGCAGCUGUAAUCAAACACAUUGGCAUUUCCAUAGUAAAACAAAUAGUCUCACUAAGUGGGAUAAAUAAAAAUUUUACAUAGGAGUUCCCUGGCA
ensembl:lncRNA